GAUGAACGCUGGCGGCGUGCCUAAUACAUGCAAGUCGAGCGAAUGGAUUAAGAGCUUGCUCUUAUGAAGUUAGCGGCGGACGGGUGAGUAACACGUGGGUAACCUGCCCAUAAGACUGGGAUAACUCCGGGAAACCGGGGCUAAUACCGGAUAACAUUUUGAACCGCAUGGUUCGAAAUUGAAAGGCGGCUUCGGCUGUCACUUAUGGCUGGACCCGCGUCGCAUUAGCUAGUUGGGGAGGUAACGGCUCACCAAGGCAACGAUGCGUAGCCGACCUGAGAGGGUGAUCGGCCACACUGGGACUGAGACACGGCCCAGACUCCUACGGGAGGCAGCAGUAGGGAAUCUUCCGCAAUGGACGAAAGUCUGACGGAGCAACGCCGAGUGAGUGAUGAAGGCUUUCGGGUCGUAAAACUCUGUUGUUAGGGAAGAACAAGUGCUAGAUGAAUAAGCUGGCACCUUGACGGUACCUAACCAGAAAGCCACGGCUAACUACGUGCCAGCCGCCGCCGUAA
rnacentral:rRNA from 1 species